GCGCGAAACCUCCGCAAUGCGAGCAAUCGCGACGGGGGACCCCAAGUGCCACUCUUAACGGGGUGGCUUCUCUUAAGUGUAAAAAGCUUUUGGAAUAAGGGCUGGGCAAGACCGGUGCCAGCCGCCGCGGUAACACCGGCAGCCCAAGUGGUGGCCAUUUUAUUGGGCCUAAAGCGUUCGUAGCCGGCCUGAUAAGUCUCUGGUGAAAUCCCGCAGCUUAACUGUGGGAAUUGCUGGAGAUACUAUCAGGCUUGAGGUCGGGAGAGGUUAGAGGUACUCCCAGGGUAGGGUGAAAUCCUAUAAUCCUGGGAGGACCACCUGUGGCGAAGGCGUCUAACUGGAACGAACCUGACGGUGAGUAACGAAAGCCAGGGGCGCGAACCGGAUUAGAAACCCGGGUAG
rnacentral:rRNA from 1 species